AACGUAGGGGGCCAGCGUUGCUCGGAAUUACUGGGCGUAAAGGGUCCGUAGGCGGUGUGGCAAGUCGGAAGUGAAAUCUCUGGACUUAACCCAGAGGCUGCUCCCGAAACUGCUAUGCUAGAGUGCGAGAGAGGCGAGUGGAAUUGCGGGUGUAGCGGUGAAAUGCGUAGAUAUCCGCAGGAACAUCCGAGGCGAAAGCGGCUCGCUGGAUCGCAACUGACGCUGAGGGACGAAAGCUAGGGGAGCAAACAGG
rnacentral:rRNA from 1 species